GACGAGGGGUCCUAGCGUUGUUCGGAAUCACUGGGCGUAAAGCGUAUGUAGGCGGCUCUCUAAGUCGGUUGUGAAAGCCCAUGGCUUAACCAUGGAAUUGCGUUCGAAACUGGAGAGCUUGAGUGUGGGAGAGAUUGGUAGAAUACCUGGUGUAGUGGUGAAAUGCUUAGAUAUUACAUGGAAUACCAAUUGCGAAGGCAGGUUACUACUAGUGGAUUGACGCUGAUGGACGAAAGCGUGGGGAGCGAACAGG
rnacentral:rRNA from 1 species